rnacentral:rRNA from 1 species
CCUACGGGUGGCAGCAGUGGGGAAUAUUGGACAAUGGGGGGAACCCUGAUCCAGCCAUGCCGCGUGUGUGAAGAAGGCCCUCGGGUUGUAAAGCACUUUCAGUGAGGAAGAACGCCUGGUGGUUAAUACCCAUCAGGAAAGACAUCACUCACAGAAGAAGCACCGGCUAACUCCGUGUCAGCAGCCGCGGUAAUACGGAGGGUGCGAGCGUUAAUCGGAAUUACUGGGCGUAAAGCGCGCGUAGGUGGCUUGAUAAGCCGGUUGUGAAAGCCCCGGGCUCAACCUGGGAACGGCAUCCGGAACUGUCAAGCUAGAGUGCAGGAGAGGAAGGUAGAAUUCCCGGUGUAGCGGUGAAAUGCGUAGAGAUCGGGAGGAAUACCAGUGGCGAAGGCGGCCUUCUGGACUGACACUGACACUGAGGUGCGAAAGCGUGGGUAGCAAACAGGAUUAGAUACCCGUGUAGUC